rnacentral:rRNA from 1 species
UACGGAGGAUCCAAGCGUUAUCCGGAUUUAUUGGGUUUAAAGGGUGCGUAGGCGGAUUGAUAAGUUAGAGGUGAAAUGUCCGAGCUCAACUCGGGAACUGCCUCUAAUACUGUUGAUCUAGAGAGUAGAUGCGGUAGGCGGAAUGUAUGGUGUAGCGGUGAAAUGCUUAGAGAUCAUACAGGACACCGAUUGCGAAGGCAGCUUACCAAUCUAUAUCUGACGUUGAGGCACGAAAGCGUGGGGAGCAAACAGG